CUCUCUCUAACCACGCUUUCAGUUUUUUUUUGGUUUUGCUUUCAGAACUCUCUAGAUCGCUAAACCUCCCCCAGAUCAGUCGAUAGUUGCCCUUCUCUCAUCAAGCCUUUCUUUCUCUCUAAACCCGUCCGUGUCGAUUUAAAUUUUGAGCGGGAACCAUUAGAUCGGGUUUGUUAAUCGAACGGCCCAUACAAGUCCACGUGGAGGAGCACAGACGAUCUAUACUAAUACUGAUAUAAUCAGAGAACGACGUCAACUAAUACUUACGGUAUCUCUUUUUUUACUAGAGCCCAGCCCAAAACGACGUCGUUUUGUUCUGGGCGAGUUUAUAUCCUUCUGAGUGAGAGAUAAGGACGACGGUGAUGGUGUAUGUGCUUCUAUUCGUAUGGCUUUCCACUUCAACUCCUACGGUUUUGUGUAUAUAUUUGUAUUGUUGUGUUUGGUUUGCAUCAUUAUAUUUGACUGUAAAAAUUGUAGAAUUUGAAAAGGGUUUUUGGAUGCUAUUACACUUCAAUCGAGUUUGGUAGUUUCUUUGUUAUCUUCGAAUCUAAGCUAAUUGAGGAUUAGUUUAUGUUUAUGUAUGUGACUUAGUAUUUCAGUUGUAAUGGAUGUGUUAAUUGACUUUUGAAAUUGCUGAACCCUGUUGGUCUGGAUAUGGAUUUGCUUGUGUAUGUUUAUGUAGAAUUUGAAAAGGGUGAUUGGGUGCUAUUACAUUUCAAUCAAGUUUGGGGAUUUCUCUGUUAUUGUUGAAUCUGAUCAAAUUGAGUAUAGUUUGUUUAUGUUUAUGCGUGUGACUUAGUCUUUCAAUUGUAAUUGAUGUGUUAAUUUUUUAAUCUGAUCAAAUUGAGUAUUAGUUUGUUUAUUUAUUUAUUUUUUUUUGUUGAACCCUGUUAGUAUGUAUACGGAAUUGCAUGUGUAUAUGACUUGUGAUGUUUGCUAAUAAAAUGAGGAAAGGAAGUGAGAGUUAUGAAUAUGGAAUUUUAUGCUUUACCUUUCUUUUCUUUUUUCGCUAAUUAAAAAAAAAUUGAUUACAAGAUAAAGGUACUUCAUGGGUUCAUUUUUUUUUUUUUUAACUUUAAAACUUGUAGUCUUUCAUUUUGGUGUGAAUUUUAAUUAAGCAAGCUGGCAAUUGUUGUUUAUUAGUCUAUAAUCUUAAUUAUGAUUCCUUUGGCUACUUGGUCACACCCACUGGGUGAUUGAAUAGCUUCAUAUCAAAUUGGCUUGUAGUCCUCAAGCUGGCAAUUGUUGUUUAUUAGUCUAUAAUCUUAAUUAUGAUUCCUUUGGCUACUUGGUCACACCCACUAAGUGUAGACUCCAUCCUGACAAUGAUAUCUUUAGGGAUCAGGAGCAGCACAAGAUUCAUGUGGAUAAAAAUUAAUGGCGCUGCGGAUACUGUAAGAAAAUUUUCCGAGCAGAGAAGUUUCUUGAUCAACAUUAUGACAACAGACACUACAAUCUUCUGAAUGUUUGCAUGAUGCUUCUUGUAGGGGAGAAAAAGAUUGAUAAUGGUUGAGCACUCAAUACAUCCUUUUAACAUGCAAUUUUGUAUUGCUUUUAAGGUUUUUGGGCCUUUAAGGAUUUAUCUUCCAAAUCGGUUAUAGUCUCAGAAUAUAUGACAAUUUUUAAUGCAUAAAAUGGCUUGUGAGAUUGAAGAGUCUGAAGACUUAUGUCUCAAUCUGACUUCAUGGACCCCUCGCCAAAUUGCAUUUGUCAAUGGAAGCCAUAGGUCAGCAGAUUCGCUUGGUAAAAUUGCUCCAUUUAUUAGUGGUGUAGCAUUCCUGCAUCCCAACAUUAUGGCAUUUAUUGUAUACUGAAAAUUUUAAGACAAUAGAGGUACUUUUUUCCGGUGAAUACGAUUUUCUGUAGUCAUGAUCUAGCCCUUUUGUCUUGGACUUGAUAGUCGAAUUGGUUGAAUUGACUUGGCUCUAGAAUGUAUUGUGAUGGAUGCAGAUAAUUUUUAGGGAUUGUUACUAUGUGAUCCUUUUUAUUACUGUUCUGGUACACCAUCUAUUCUUAUGUUCCAAUUAGUUGUUAUACUGAAAAGAAACCAUUUCUUCACAAAUCUCACACAACCAAUUCAUGCAUGAACAGGAAGGUUGUUACUUUUUCCCCAUGUGAUGCUUCCUGAUGAUAGGGUAAUUAUUAAGUCCCAGUAAUCUCACCAUUUGGAAAAGGCCUCUUCUACAAUACAGUUUUGCAAAACCACGUCAGUCAAACAUCAAUACAGGUCUCUUCUACAGCAAAUAGCAAUCCUUAUUAUAGGGCUAUUUGAAAAAAACAAAACCCUCCUGUACUAUACAAGUUUUUGCAACUUAACCCCCUCAACUAUUGAAAAUGUCGCAGGAUAAUCCCCUCAAGGGUGGCAAAUUGCAACAUCUUUUAGCUGGCAUUCUAAUUUUCAAAGAUUUGUUUAUUGAUCCAUUUGCUAGAUGCUAACAUUAACAAUCUUAAUCAUGCACUACAGUUUCAUCUUUGAUGCUUCUUCAGAAAUGCUUUCACCCAGGAUUGCAGUUCACGUGUGACCCCAAAUGCAAGGAAUAUCAACUAACUGUAGAGCUGAAUUUGUGUGCCUUAUUUUCCUCUGUUUUUCCCAACUAAUCACAUACCUGACUUCCUAUAUGGGGCGUUUAAGCCUCGUAAAGAGAGAACAAGAGAGUUGCCAAAUGUUCUUCCAAAGGACUUUGAAGUCCUUUGCAGUUCUCAGAGAGAGCAUCACAACAUUCCAAAGACAUUUUCUAGGCAUCACCAUGAUUAUUCUCGCAACUAUCGGCCACUCCCUGCCUCCAAAUUCUGUACAUGGUUCAUGUAAUCUUCCAUCUUCUUUGGCCGUGAAGUCCUUUCUACAUCAACAUAGGCUGACCCACUCCACAAAGCCAUAGAAAGGUCUGUACUUUAUGUGUCUACAGUUGUGCUCGCACUCAAAAGCAUUUUUAUAGAAAUUGCUGAUCUCAUAAAUGGUCACAAGGGCAUUGGAAAGCAUGGUUGAAUCCAUUAUAUCUUAGAAGGCCGGGGCAGAGGAAACUUCCCCGGCAUCUGUAAACACUCCAAUGUCAAUUUUGAACCGAACAAAAACCUUCUCUCCGUGCCUUCAUGUAGCGGUUCACUAACUGUAGUUUACUUGAAGUAUACCGAACUCGCUGCUUUGAUCACCUUGCAAAUAAUAAACCAAUACAUGGACAGUUGGUGCUUCAAAAGUGAGCUUUAUAACUGUCUUCUGAAUGUUUCUGGUGUUUGGUGAGGGAGAGAGAUAUGAGGUCCAUUCUUCAAUGCUCACUUCACAUAACCACCAAUCUCAUGAUAAAUUCUAAUCGUGUUGCUGUUACUUUCAUGGUAGAGGAAUUCGAUGUAAUUAAAGAUUCGUGGUUUUUAGUUUGGGUUGAAGACAAGCCGAGAGCAAUGUUUUGGAAGGUAACAUUAACUGCAGAAAUGGAGGUGGACAGGCUGAAGUUAAAAGGGUGUUCUAAUUGAUAGAUAGGGAGUGUGUUUCGCAUUACAUGCUUCUUUUUUUUUUUUUUUUUUUUUUUUUUUUUUUUUUUUUUUUUUUUUUUCUGUUU